rnacentral:lncRNA from 1 species
UUGUGUACAAUCUGCUAUUCAGCACAUCCACUUCCAAAGUCAUGUUGCUGAUAUUGAAAUGUCAAUUCCUUGACCUUUGGAUGCACAUGGGAGUCUCAGAGAACAUUCCAAGCAUUUGAAAGCAAUGCCUCUGAGAACCUUGGAAUGGAGAAAGGGAACAAUGUCAUCUGCACUCAGUCAUGGAGGAAACAGCUGGACAAGUCAGCACAGGGCGGAGGUGACCGGUGGAGGCGACUAGGACUUCUUCAGGUACCUGGAGAUCACUGAACGCUGGCCUUCCAGACCCCUUUACACCAAGUGCGCUAUCCUGAGGGAAAUGGCCUGCCUGAAAGGGACUAAAUGAGUUUGGCCUUCAUGCUCAGAGAGGCACAGCAGAAAGUGUAGGAGGAGAUCAGGGUCUUUUGCUGUUUGCUGUCUCUCUACUACCAAUCUCUGAAAUGCCUUUCUUUAAAAAAAAGAAAAUGAAAUAUCUUUAUUGGCUUGGAUUUUUCUAAUGACAGAAAAGAGAAGUGAGGAGACAAGAUUGGGAAUUGAGGUCAGAGAAGCAUCCGUGGGUAGACGUUGCAUUGUGAGGCGACGUCGGGGAUCUACUGAUUAGCCGGUCUGGCUGCCGCUCUCCAUCCACACAGGGCAUUUGGCCACCCAUUCCUGCUGAUUAAGGGGCAGUGUCCUGGCAGCUUCUGAUAGAUAACUUGGUUGUUUUGUUAUAAGGAGCUUUAUUUCCUCAGGAUGAAUUAUGAAGAUUUUUCUUUUUGUUGUUUCAAAAUAGGGCUGUCUUAUCUGAGAAUGUGUUAAUUAAAGUUAUCAUGUAUUACCUUGUUUCUAGUCCUACACAUUUGAUAUGAACAAAUUACUGUUUACAAGACAGCUUCCUGUACUUAGAAUAGCAGCUGUUGUUACUCCACCAAGAAGAGCUGCCCAGAGGGGCUAGGGCAUGAGGAAUAGGUUUGGAGACAGGAAGAAUAAAGGAAUGUUCAGAUCUAGCUCGAGGGCAGGCGGGACACUUGUGGUGGGAUGGUUGGGUCCACUUCGCUUUCUGUUUUGCCUCCUAACCAAUCUGAUGUUAUCUACUCACGGACCUCCAUUUUCCUGGUGCACUCUUUUGGCUGGCCCUCCUGCUAAAUCUCUUUGCUGGCUGAACCUUAGCCUUCCCUAGCCACAAGCCAAUGAGAAAAUCACUACCUCUAUCUCACUAGGUUGGAGCGUAGCACUUUGGGAAUGGAAGCAACAAGUCCUAACCUCACAGUCAGUCAGGCAUUCAACUCAAAUACAUGAUCAUUUAUUCAGGAGGCAUCUGCUGUGUGCAAUGGCUUUGGGACAGCACAGAGAGAGAUGCAAAGAUGGAAACACUGUCUCUACCCCAGUGUAGUUUAGGACCUGUCUUGGGAAGAAAGCAAUUGUUUCCAAUAACAGUAGUAAGAACAGCAAGAGAGAUGCAGUGAUGUAGAAUGGGAAGGAGAUUCAGAGCAUUCUUGAGUGAGCUGCUAAUUGGAGGGCUGAGGGGAUUGUGACUUCAUCCUUUGCAUCCAGGUGCUGCUGGCGUGUCUGGUGCACAGUGGGUGCUCUGCAGUGUUUGCCAAGCCAUUAUUGAGAAGGGGUAUCCAAUGGUGUGCAUACCCCUUCGAAAGGGCUUACUAGUCAUGUGAGGUGCUACUAGAGAGACAAGUUAAGGUUUUGAAUGAGAGAUGAGAGUUGGAAGAAUAUUCUAGUGGAAAAAAAGAAUAUGAGAAACAGUUCAGAAACAUGGAAUCCCUGCUCAACUUCCUCUGCUCACUGCCCCCGGCCACUUCAUCCAGGGAUGUUGAGGACAGAUUUCUCUACAGGUAAUUGGAAGCAAGACUUACUUGGAGAAAAUAGUUUCAUUGGUCUCUUGUCUCUGACAGUACUCACAAAGCCUCCUUGCUUGUUUGCUUCCUUCCCUUAAUCCCAUUCUUUCAUUCCGAACCUUUCUACGUCUCCCUUAAGUCCUAUUUUCUUUUUCCCUUGUUCUGAGCUCCCAUCACCAUCUUUAUCCCCUGUCAACCAAGGAGACAGGGCACAGGUGCAGUUACCAGGUCACCAAGCUAAACAAAGGGCUUUAGAGUUGGUCUUUUUUGUGACUGUCCUGCCUCCCUCUAGGUAUUUAUCUCUUUUCUGUGGGUAGCAUAACAGAAGCUCAGAGAGUUGAUGUGCCUGCAGCAUGACAUAAGUGGAAGUCACAAACAUUCAUUUUCCACUUCUUUAUUUUGCCUUCUGAGUCAUGGUGCCUCUGCAUAAUUUAAACCUUUUCUCUCCCCACUGCCUUAACCCCUGAAAAUCUGCAACAAGUUCACAUGCAUCCUUAAUUCUCCACUCUAGAAUUUCAAAUGGAAGUUUUAAACAAUGUUUUGGCUUCUUGUGAAAUCUGAGAAUCCAGUGUAUGUCCUUGGUCUUACAAUAAAAGGCUGGUAAAAGUCCUUUUUUUUUUUUUAACUUCCUCUUUCUCUACUCUAUUGUCCAGUUUUGGCUUUCCUAUUUUCCCUCAUCUUUGUAAAAUUGCCUUCCAGAUGUCUCUUCAAAUGACUUGACAGCAGCCCUGUUAUCUUCUAAGAGCCUAAAAGCACUUUGGCUGCUUUAGAAAAAUGUGUUUGUUUUUUCUUCUUAUUAGGCAGCAUCUGAAGUCUCUCUGAAAACACAAGAAAAGAAUAUACAGAGAACCUCCCAGAAACUGCAAGUCCCAUGGAAAUUAAGGCCAUUAGUGUUUUGUAUAAUAAACAGUCACCUUUGCAUUUAAAAUGGACUAUUUUGUUUUGGAUAUAGGUGGAGUAGGAUAUAAAUGUAUACUUCCUUGCUUCUUAGUUUAUCAUAGGAAUCUAAGAAAAGAACUAAGGAUAAGAGAAAAGGAGGAAAAAAAGACAGCUCUGCUGCUUUUAUCUCAGGUUAUUUCAGAAAAAACAAAAUGAUAACCCUGCAAAAUUCUCAGCACUCUUCACUUUGGUUCCACCGCUUUCAGUGGGUGACUUGUCUGGAAAGGAAUCUCUUUUAGCCUUCCUGGCUAAUGAGCCAUGGCAGAUAAUGCCACAAGGUGUCACUAUUGCUAAAAUCGCUCUCCACCUACAGGAUCGAU